rnacentral:rRNA from 1 species
UACGUAGGGGGCAAGCGUUGUCCGGAUUUAUUGGGCGUAAAGAGCGUGUAGGCGGCCUGACAGGUCUGCUGUGAAAACUCGAGGCUCAACCUCGGGAUGGCGGCGGAAACCGUCUGGCUAGAGUCCGGAAGAGGAGAGUGGAAUUCCUGGUGUAGCGGUGAAAUGCGCAGAUAUCAGGAAGAACACCUAUGGCGAAGGCAGCUCUCUGGGACGGUACUGACGCUGAGACGCGAAAGCGUGGGGAGCGAACAGG